AAAGCGCGGGUAGUUGAACCGUGAUGGUGGGGAGGUGGUCUUGGGUGGACCCCUGCCGUGGGGAAUGCAGGAAUGGACGCGGCAAAAGGAGGGAAGAGAACUUUAGAGAUCGCGGAUUCAGGUGUGGCUCUAUGAGCAAGUGAAUAUGCGGAUAGAAGGCUGUAUCAUUGGUUUUGAUGAGUAUAUGAACCUUGUAUUAGAUGAUGCAGAAGAGAUUCAUUCUAAAACAAAGUCAAGAAAACAACUGG
rnacentral:sRNA from 1 species